GUGCUUGAACAUGAAGAGUAAGGAAAUGAUAUGCUCAGAAGUGACUGUCUGGGUGCAGUGACGUUGUCACACGAAAUUUUUGGAAGGGUACUGGUCUCCCGCGGCGGUUAGUCUACUUUCACUAAUUGCUGGCAGUGUGAGAUCAUCCCU
rnacentral:snRNA from 1 species